AGUGAACGCUGGCGGUAGGCCUAACACAUGCAAGUCGAACGGCAGCACAGUAAGAGCUUGCUCUUACGGGUGGCGAGUGGCGGACGGGUGAGGAAUACAUCGGAAUCUACUUUUUCGUGGGGGAUAACGUAGGGAAACUUACGCUAAUACCGCAUACGACCUACGGGUGAAAGCAGGGGAUCUUCGGACCUUGCGCGAUUGAAUGAGCCGAUGUCGGAUUAGCUAGUUGGCGGGGUAAAGGCCCACCAAGGCGACGAUCCGUAGCUGGUCUGAGAGGAUGAUCGGCCACCAUGGAGCUGAGACACGGUCCAGACUCCUACGGGAGGCAGCAGUGGGGAAUAUUGGACAAUGGGCGCAAGCCUGAUCCAGCCAUACCGCGUGGGUGAAGAAGGCCUUCGGGUUGUAAAGCCCUUUUGUUGGGAAAGAAAAGCAGCAGGUUAAUACCCCGCUGUUCUGAGGGUACCCAAAGAAUAAGCACCGGCAAACUUCGU
rnacentral:rRNA from 1 species